rnacentral:rRNA from 1 species
GACGAACGCUGGCGGCGUGCUUAACACAUGCAAGUCGAACGGAAAGGCCCUGCUUGCCGGGUACUCGAGUGGCGAACGGGUGAGUAACACGUGGGUGAUCUGCCCUGCACUUCGGGAUAAGCCUGGGAAACUGGGUCUAAUACCGGAUAGGAGCCAUUUUUAGUGUGAUGGUUGGAAAGUUUUUUCGGUGUAGGAUGAGCUCGCGGCCUAUCAGCUUGUUGGUGGGGUAAUGGCCUACCAAGGCGGCGACGGGUAGCCGGCCUGAGAGGGGGGACGGCCACAUUGGGACUGAGAUACGGCCCAGACUCCUACGGGAGGCAGCAGUGGGGAAUAUUGCACAAUGGGCGCAAGCCUGAUGCAGCGACGCCGCGUGGGGGAUGACGGCCUUCGGGUUGUAAACUCCUUUCGCUAGGGACGAAGCUUUGUGUGACGGUACCUAGAUAAGAAGCACCGGCUAACUACGUG